CGUACAAGUCCAGGAUGAUAACGCGACCAGGCCCUCAUCUCUCUCUCUCUCUCGUUAUCUCACAUGGCUCUCACGCACGAUUCCCCUCUCUGCUCCCUGCUCGCCUCCACGUCGCCGUCUUGAUUCCGGCCACAGCCGGCCACAUCCCCGCCGAUUCUUGCCGGCGUGGCUCCGCCUCGAUCUCCUUCACCGAAUCCCCGCCGCCUCGACGUUCGCCCGCACUCGUGCGUGCUUCUUCGGCUAACCCUAGCCUCUGGCUUGGCUCGGCCGCCGGCGUUGUUCCGGCGCCGCCGCGCCUCCUGCUGCUCCCUUUUUGGCGGCCUCGACUUGCACCUCGAGCCCCAGCUCGACCUUCCGUUUCGGCCUCCCCUAUUUUGUGGUGGUCUGAUGGUGUGGUGUAGUGCUGAUGCUGCCCCUGGGACUGCCCGUGGUCUCCCGCGCUAUGAUGCGGUGGAAGGCUUGGCUAGCCCCUCCUACGUCUUCCUCGACGUCUCCCUCGACUAUGUCCACGGUCACGCAUCAGGGUUGUGUGUUUGCAGGUGAUGAACUGCUAUUGUCUAGUAGUGCUGGUGGUGUUGUGCACAUUCUUGGCCAGCACAUGUGUGAGAACACGAUGCUAUGGUAAGGUGUGAUCAGGCCCUGGGUGUGAUCUGGUGCUAGAUAGAUGCGUCCUGGUUAAACUGUAAUUGAUGUUCUGGAGUAGGUCAAGGCUCUAAUUGAUACAGAUGAGUAUAUCAUGUAUCACUAGGACGUGCACACACAAUGUUUUCAUCAAGCAAUUGUGUAUGUGGGGGUGCUGGAGUGUGCAUUAGCUCGACUAGGCAUAUGGUAACAGAUAAGCAACCAUACGAAUAAUUGUUGUCGCUAUGUAAAUAAAUAAAUGGCUGUAAAGCUCAGGUUUUAAUCAUCUUAUACAAGUGUAACUGUGUAGAUAUAAUACUUGAGUUGAUGUCGACUUUCUAGUACAUAUGCAUGAUAUAAAUAGUUAAUUUGUAUUUUCUUGGCGAUUUACUUCCAGAUUCACUUAUUUGGUAUUUUUGAUGCUCACAUGAUCAUCCAAACUUGUGUACAAUAUUCUUGGUCAAGUAUAUACUUUGCUAGAUGAUUUCUAGUGUUCUUGAUGUGUUGAAGUGAUCAGAAAGAUGUAUUUCUGGACAUAAUUUAUUUACUGGCUUUCUCACAGGGAUCUUGCUAUUCUCUCUGUAUGUGGUUAGGGUAUGAGCUCCUGGUUUUACCAGGGAUCACUAGCUGAGGCUAGGUGAUCUAGCUCCCCUUUCUACUGACACCUCACUUUUUCUUUCUUUCUCUACAUAGAACUGAUAAGAACAGAACUAUGCUUGAUUUCUUGGCCCUGCCCAUGAUGCAUAGGCUGAGGCAUGAUCUAUGAUAUGAACAGAUACUACUGGGUUGUUGCUUCUCUAAACCUCGGUGAUGAACAUGCAUAGCACCUCUAUGCAAGACUGAGAGGAAAAUCCAUCUCUCCAUCCUCCUAGAUGAAAAUUUAGUUGAAGGGUGGUUUGAUGGAGUGUUGUGGAUUCUUCUCUUUAUUUCCCCUGAUCCUAGUUGUGCAAGCUAGUAUGCUGAGAUGCUUAUAUUAAAUCAAUGGAUCAACCUGUUGUAGCAAAGUUGGAUAGCGGGUGAUGUUGAUCUUGAUCUACUGCUUGUUUGACUGCACCUCCUCCUAGCUCCGGCUUGAUCCUGUUCUAGGAUACCACCAUACUGGUACUUGGUUGGAUGAACUGGGAUAUCUUCUAAGAUGGUUUGAUGGCCUGGAUGAAGAAUAGCUAUUGUUUCUUGUGUUCUUGAUCUGGUCGAUGAACCCUGUGCUAAGGAGUUGUGUGCUCCAAGGGAUGCCUCUUUUAUUGAUGACCUGAGCUGUGUUUGGCCUUGUACUACUGCCUAUGUGCUCUGUGCGUGAGACAACACAUAGCAUGCAUGUGUGACAGUGCUACUUGCUUGUGUGGCGCAAGUCUCUGCCUGGUACAUCCCCUCUUGUGGAUGAGCAUGGACUGAGAAAGAUCUUCUUAUUUGCUUUCCAUUUCUUUCUAACCUGGCCACCUGGCUUUCCUUUUCCUUUUGUUUUCUUCGUUUGUUUUGCAGGUGACCAAAGAAACAAAGAAUAGAAGAUAUUUAAAUAGGUUUAGCUUAGCUUUUCUUUUCUGUUUUAGAUUCUUGUAAUAUUUGUAAUUUGUAAUAUUAUGGAUAUUGUAAUGACUUUGUAAAUGUGUAUAUAAUUAAUAAAAUGUAAUUUCCUUA